UGUGGCUCUGCUCCAUGUGUCUUCUUAUUCCAAGAUCUAGGGUGAAAGACCCUCUAUGGAGACCAGUCUGUUCUUGUUUUUACAGCUAAGGUGAAGAACCAGAGAGCUGGUGGAAACUCAUUUGCACCUCACAGUUUUUACUCAGAACUGGCACAUUGUCAAAGCAAGUCCAGGCCCAAGCCCAAAGUCAGUGGAUUGAGAUGUGUUACAAGGAAAUAUACUACCGCCUGCUAUCUUGAUCAAAAAUAUUCAGUUUCUUCCCUUCUGGAAUCAAACUAUAUUCAUCACCACCUCUAAAGAAGAAAUCCUGAAACCUAUUUUCCCAAAGCCACUCAUUCAUUUGGUAGAUGAUCUGCUAAGUUACUACAGCUUAUCCAGUGCUUCACAUGAAAUAAAUGGAAUCUCACCUUUAAGUCUGUUUUUAUUCCAUCUUCCUCAAGGUCAAGAGUUUCAUCCAGUUUGGGGUUCUACGGGGUCUUUCCAUAAAUCCACAGGUGUGAGUAGAACCAGUUUGUCCUCACCAAAUCACUUUUCAGUGCCGAGUUACCCAGAGAUGUCAGAGUUAAGAUUCACAUGGUAGAAGGAGCUCUUGAAGUUUUUCAACAGAAAUAAUUUUUUGUUUGUUUGUUUGUUUGGAAAGCAGAAGUGGAUGUGUUUUGCAAGAAUCUGACUGGUUCCUCUAAUGGACCUCAGUAUUGAUGUCCUCACCCCACACAAUGGGCAGCCAUGAGAUGAUUAGGGGUGAGAAGCGAUCAUGGUCUACUAGUUAAAGCAGAUAACCAGGCAUCACAAACUGUGAGGCCAUUUCUGCCUCCAACAACUGGCUGGCUGGGCAAGUCACCUCACCUCACUGAACCUGCUCUUUCCAGCUUCAAAAUGAGGAUAAUAGUAUUCCUCUACCUACAUGGGGGUGUUAGGUAGCUUAGUUAAUUGAUGUUUGCAAUAUGCUGGGAGAUAAAAGGCAGUAUGGAAGUAUAAAGUAUAUUAAAGAAGAACAAAGUAAGAUGUUAAAAAUGACUGACAAUUCAACAGAACUAAUAGAUUGGGCAACAGAACCUGGAAGAUAAUAAAGUUGCUGUAACACUAAGUCA
rnacentral:lncRNA from 1 species